rnacentral:rRNA from 1 species
AGCAGUGGGGAAUAUUGCACAAUGGGCGAAAGCCUGAUGCAGCAACGCCGCGUGAGCGAUGAAGGCCUUCGGGUCGUAAAGCUCUGUCCUAAAGGAAGAAUUUUGACGGUACUUUAGGAGGAAGCCCCGGCUAAUUACGUGCCAGCAGCCGCGGUAAUACGUAAGGGGCUAGCGUUAUCCGGAAUUACUGGGCGUAAAGGGUACGUAGGCGGUUUAUUAAGUCAGGGGUGAAAGGCUACGGCUCAACCGUAGUAAGCCUUUGAAACUGAUAAACUUGAGUAUGGUAGAGGAAAGUGGAAUUCCUGGUGUAGCGGUGAAAUGCGUAGAUAUCAGGAGGAACAUCGAUGGCGAAGGCAGCUUUCUGGGCCAUUACUGACGCUGAGGUACGAAAGCGUGGGGAGCGAACAGGAUUAGAUACCCUGGUAGUCCACGCCGUAAACGAUGAGUGCUAGGUGUUGGGGGUCGAACCUCGGUGCCGCAGUUAACGCAUUAAGCACUCC